rnacentral:rRNA from 1 species
CUACGGGAGGCAGCAGUGAGGAAUAUUGGGCAAUGGCCGAAAGGCUGACCCAGCAACGCCGCGUGGAGGACGAAGACCUUCGGGUUGUAAACUCCUUUUCUGGGGGAAGAGAAAGGACGGUACCCCAGGAAUAAGUCACGGCUAACUACGUGCCAGCAGCCGCGGUAAAACGUAGGUGGCAAGCGUUAUCCGGAUUUACUGGGCGUAAAGCGCUUGUAGGUGGCUUUGUAAGUUGGAUGUGAAAACUCUGGGCUUAACCCAGAGAGGCCGUCCAAUACUGCAGGGCUGGAGGAUGUCAGAGGAAGGUGGAAUUCCUGGUGUAGUAGUGAAAUGCGUAGAUAUCAGGAGGAAUACCGAUGGCGAAGGCAGGUCCCUGGGUUAACACUGACGCUCAUGCACGAAAGCGUGGGGAGCAAACAGGAUUAGAAACCCCGGUAGUCC